UACGUAGGGUGCUAGCGUUGUCCGGAUUUAUUGGGCGUAAAGGGCUCGUAGGCGGCGUGUCGCGUCGGGAGUGAAAGCCCGCUGCUUAACGGCGGGUUGGCUUUCGGUACGGGCAUGCUGGAGUGCGGCAGGGGAGACUGGAAUUCCUGGUGUAGCAGUGAAAUGCGUAGAUAUCAAGUGGAACACCAGUGGCGAAGGCGAGUCUCUGGACAUUUCCUGACGCUGAGGCACGAAAGCCAGGGGAGCAAACGGG
rnacentral:rRNA from 1 species